rnacentral:rRNA from 1 species
AGAGUUUGAUCCUGGCUCAGGAUGAACGCUAGCGGCAGGCUUAACACAUGCAAGUCGAAGGGCAACGGGGAGAGUGCUUGCACUCUCCGCCGGCGACUGGCGCACGGGUGAGUAACACGUAUGCAACCUGCCCUCCACAGGGGGACAACCUUCCGAAAGGGAGGCUAAUCCCGCGUAUAUCCCUUGGGGGCAUCCUUGGGGGAGGAAAGGAUUACCGGUGGAGGAUGGGCAUGCGGCGCAUUAGGCAGUAGGCGGGGUAACGGCCCACCUAACCGACGAUGCGUAGGGGUUCUGAGAGGAAGGUCCCCCACACUGGUACUGAGACACGGACCAGACUCCUACGGGAGGCAGCAGUGAGGAAUAUUGGUCAAUGGGCGGGAGCCUGAACCAGCCAAGCCGCGUGAAGGAAGAAGGCGCCAAGCGUCGUAAACUUCUUUUGUCGGGGAACAAAGGGCGCCACGUGUGGCGUUGUGAGUGUACCCGAAGAAAAAGCAUCGGCUAACUCCGUGCCAGCAGCCGCGGUAAUACGGAGGAUGCGAGCGUUAUCCGGAUUUAUUGGGUUUAAAGGGUGCGUAGGCGGUCCGGAAAGUCAGCGGUAAAAGCCCGGGGCUCAACCCCGGCGAGCCGUUGAAACUGUCGGACUAGAGACGGCGAGAAGUACGCGGAAUGCGCGGUGUAGCGGUGAAAUGCAUAGAUAUCGCGCAGAACUCCGAUUGCGAAGGCAGCGUACCGGCGCCGGACUGACGCUGAGGCACGAAAGCGUGGGUAUCGAACAGGAUUAGAUACCCUGGUAGUCCACGCAGUAAACGAUGAAUGCCGGCUGUCCGGCCCGGAAAAGGGCUGGGUGGCGAAGCGAAAGCGAUAAGCAUUCCACCUGGGGAGUACGCCGGCAACGGUGAAACUCAAAGGAAUUGACGGGGGCCCGCACAAGCGGAGGAACAUGUGGUUUAAUUCGAUGAUACGCGAGGAACCUUACCCGGGCUCAAACGACACUGGAAUACUUUUGAAAGGAGGUAGCCAGCAAUGGCCAGUGUCGAGGUGCUGCAUGGUUGUCGUCAGCUCGUGCCGUGAGGUGUCGGCUUAAGUGCCAUAACGAGCGCAACCCCUAUCUUCAGUUGCUAACAGGUCAAGCUGAGGACUCUGGAGAGACUGCCGGCGCAAGCUGCGAGGAAGGCGGGGAUGACGUCAAAUCAGCACGGCCCUUACGUCCGGGGCGACACACGUGUUACAAUGGCAGGUACAGCGGGAAGCCACCUGGCGACAGGGAGCGGAACCCGAAAACCUGUCUCAGUUCGGAUUGGAGUCUGCAACUCGACUCCAUGAAGUUGGAUUCGCUAGUAAUCGCGGAUCAGCAUGCCGCGGUGAAUACGUUCCCGGGCCUUGCACUCACCGCCCGUCAAG